CCGGUCUUAGUCAAGUGGUAACCACGGCAGAAUCAAAAUCUGUUUCUCUUGAACUGCGCAGGUUCGAAACCUGCCAGGUUUUU